rnacentral:rRNA from 1 species
UACGGAGGGAGCUAGCGUUGUUCGGAAUUACUGGGCGUAAAACGCACGUAGGCGGCUUUGUAAGUUAGAGGUGAAAGCCCGGGGCUCAACUCCGGAACUGCCUUUAAGACUGCAUCGCUUGAAUCCAGGAGAGGUGAGUGGAAUUCCGAGUGUAGAGGUGAAAUUCGUAGAUAUUCGGAAGAACACCAGUGGCGAAGGCGGCUCACUGGACUGGUAUUGACGCUGAGGUGCGAAAGCGUGGGGAGCAAACAGG